UGCCUACGGGGGGCAGCAGUGGGGAAUAUUGCACAAUGGGGGGAACCCUGAUGCAGCAAUGCCGCGUGGGUGAAGAAGCACUCCGGUGCGUAAAGCCCUGUCAGCAGGGAAGAAAAUGACAGUACCUGACCAAGAAGCCCCGGCUAACUACGUGCCAGCAGCCGCGGUAAUACGUGGGGGGCAAGCGUUAUCCGGAUUUACUGGGUGUAAAGGGAGCGUAGACGGAAUUGCAAGUCUGAUGUGAAAAUCCGGGGCCCAACCCCGGAACUGCAUUGGAAACUGUAUUUCUAGAGUGUCGGAGAGGC
rnacentral:rRNA from 1 species